rnacentral:rRNA from 1 species
AAUAUUGGACAAUGGGGGCAACUCUGAUCCAGCCAUGCCGCGUGUGUGAAGAAGGUCCUCGGAUUGUAAAGCACUUUAAGUUGGGAGGAAGGGCUUUAGGUUAAUACCCUGAAGUUUUGACGUUACCAACAAAAUAAGCACCGGCUAACUCUGUGCCACCAGCCGCGGUAAUACAGAGGGUUCAAGCGUUACUCGGAAUUACUGGGCGUAAAGCGAGCGUAGGUGGUUCAGUAAGAUGGGUGUGAAAUCCCCGGGCUUAACCUGGGAACGGCUUUCAUAACUGCUGAGCUAGAGUACGGUAGAGGGUAGUGGAAGUUCCUGUGUAGGGGUGAAAUGCGUAGAUAUAGGGAGGAACACCAGUGGCGAGGGCGACUACCUGGACUGAUACUGACACUGAGGUGCGAAAGCGUGAGGAGCAAACA